UACAGAGGGUGCGAGCGUUGUUCGGAAUUACUGGGCGUAAAGGGCGCGUAGGCGGCCUACUAAGUCAGACGUGAAAUCCCCCGGCUUAACCUGGGAACUGCGUCUGAUACUGGAAGGCUUGAGUAUGGGAGAGGGAUGUAGAAUUCCAGGUGUAGCGGUGAAAUGCGUAGAUAUCUGGAGGAAUACCGGUGGCGAAGGCGGGUCUCUGGGCCGAUACUGACGCUGAGGCACGAAAGCGUGGGGAUCAAACAGG
rnacentral:rRNA from 1 species